AUUGAACGCUGGCGGCAUGCUUUACUCAUGCAAGUCGAACGGCAGCGCGGGCUUCGGCCUGGCGGCGAGUGGCGAACGGGUGAGUAAUACAUCGGAACGUGCCCAGUAGUGGGGGAUAGCUCGGCGAAAGCCGGAUUAAUACCGCAUACGACCUGAGGGUGAAAGCGGGGGAUCUUCGGACCUCGCGCUAUUGGAGCGGCCGACGGCAGAUUAGCUAGUUGGUGGGGUAAAGGCCUACCAAGGCGACGAUCUGUAGCUGGUCUGAGAGGACGACCAGCCACACUGGGACUGAGACACGGCCCAGACUCCUACGGGAGGCAGCAGUGGGGAAUUUUGGACAAUGGGCGAAAGCCUGAUCCAGCAAUGCCGCGUGUGUGAUGAAGGCCUUCGGGUUGUAAAGCACUUUUGGCGGGAACGAAAAGGACUGUGCCAAUACCACGGUUCGAUGACGGUACCCGCAGAAUAAGCACCGGCUAACUACGUG
rnacentral:rRNA from 1 species